GCGCGGUUAGCUCAGUUGGUAGAGCAAUACCUCGACACGGUAGGGGUCACAGGUUCAAGUCCUGUACUGCUCACCA
rnacentral:tRNA from 1 species